UAAGACAGAGGUGCCAAGCGUUAGGCGGAAUCACUGGGCUUAAAGCGUGUGUAGGCGGAACGUUAAGUGCCUUGUGAAAUCCCACGGCUCAACCGUGGAACUGCUGGGCAUACUGGCGUUCUUGAGCCAGCCAGGGGUCGUCGGAACAAACGGUGGAGCGGUGAAAUGCGUAGAUAUCGUUUGGAACGCCAAAGGCGAAAGCAGACGACUGGGGCUGAGCUGACGCUGAGACACGAAAGCCAGGGGAGCAAACGGGAUUAGAUACCCCGGUAGUCCUGGCCCUAAACGAUGUCCACUGGAUCGUGGUUCCUCUGAAGGAUUCACGGUCGGAGCAAAAGUGUUAAGUGGACCGCCUGGGAAGUACGGUCGCAAGGCUA
rnacentral:rRNA from 1 species